rnacentral:rRNA from 1 species
GUCUUUAAGAUUUUAAUUUAAAGUCUAAUCUGCCCAAUGAAUAAAAAUUUAAAUGGCUGCAGAAUAUUUACUGUACAAAGGUAGCAUAAUAAUUUGUUUUUUAAUUAAAAACUAGAAUGAAAGAUUUAAUGAAAUAUAAACUGUUUCAAUUAGUUUUUUAUUAAAUUUAUUAUUUAAGUAAAAAAACUUAAAUAAUUUUUAAAGACGACAAGACCCUAUAGAAUUUUAUUUAUUUUAUUUUAAAAUAAAAUUUAAUAAAUUUUAUUGGGGUAAUAAAAAAAUUUAAAAAAUUUUUUUUAAAAAAAACAUUUUUUAUGAUAAAUUUAUCUUAAUUUUUAAAUUAAAAAAAUUAAUUACCUUAGGGAUAACAGCAUAAUUUUUUUUAAAAGAUCUUAUUAAUAAAAAAGAUUAU